UCAGCCGUUAAUUUACCUCAGGAAACGGGGCCUCGUUUGGCGCCCAGGCGUUUCCUUUCCCUCCGAGAGAGAGAGAGAAGGGCGCCUGGCCUGGCAGCCGUGGUUCAGGCCGGGCUGGGAAGGAGGGAAGAGCCGGCCCGGGUCCCCUCAGCCGUGGCUGGAAGGAAGGCCCCGAGGAGACAGGCCGGGAAGGGCGGGCUCUCUCUCUCUCUCUCUCUCUCUCUCUCCUCCCGCCACCCAGAGCCGGAGAGAGAGGUGAAUCAGGGCCCGUGCUGUGGCCUCGCCUGGGUCAGUCUACUUUCUUUGGGAUUAAUCUGGAGUUUAAAGAGGAGACGCCUUUCCUUUUGGGAGUCACUUUUACCUCAGGAAAGGCUUUUCUUCCCGUCCAGAGGACCCUCUCUCUCCCACUUGAUUAAAUUUCUUUAUCGAACCUUUACCUCAGAAAAGCCUUGUGAAAUAGAAAGAAGAAAAUGCCAAUUUUAUUUAUUAAGAGAUGGUUAUCUCAAACUUUACCUCAGAAAUGGCAAAGCCUUGUGAAACGAAAGGGAGAAACAAAGACAAUUUUUUUGAAAAUUAGCACAGCUUUUUCUGAAGGGACCAGCGCUGAAUUCAAGUCAAAGGGAAGAAAGGGAAGAAACAAAAGGUCGAAGAGACAGAAGACGGAAGAUGCUUGAAGACACACUCGCAAGGACACCGCCCCCCCCCCCCCAAAAAAAGGUCAUUGUCAGGGUAAUGGGUGUAAGGCUAGGCAUUUAAUGUCUAUCUUUGCAAUAAAAAACAGGCUACCUGUGUGCUAGGCUUUUGCAUGAAUAACACGGUUCCCCUCGUGUGUGGCAUCGAAGUUUCCCACUCGGGAACGGACGGGUCCUCCCUUUGUUCUAGGCAGAUGAUGGGGGUUUUCCUAUACAAGCCGUAGGGGCCACAGCUUGGGGGGCAGCGGGGGGCCCGGCCCUGGCACCGCGGGGAGCAGCACACAUUACGGGCAUUUUAAAAGCUCCCUUAAACUUAGACAGUAGCUAGAAAUAAAAAUAUUAAUACCUUAACUCACCUACUAACUCUACUAACACUAUUCUAACUAGGGCAGCCUGGCCUUUUAAAUAGGACUGUGUUUUGCCUGCUGGCAAGAACCAAGCUGGGGGGGGCCUCCUGGCCCCCAAUAGAAGGGCUCCCAUAGAAGGACAUUUCAAAAUGCCCGCAAGGUGUCCUGAGAGCAGCCCCUGGGGCCCUCAGUGUGCCCCCCACGGUGCCAGGGCUGGGCCCCCCGCUCUCCCCCAACCCAUGACCCCUGCCGCCUGUAUAUCGUCCGUCCAGGGCCAACGGACGCCCCCUCCCUCCCCGGGCGGAGCUUCGGCGCCACACACAAGGGGAGGCCAGCCGUGGCCGCCAGAACAUGGCCAACCUGGUUUUUUACUGCAAACAUAGGCAUGUAGGGACCCCCUUUUAUUUAUGUAAGGCCACCCACCCAGGGGACCUCUGUUCCUAAUUAAAGCCUGGUUAAAGGGGAUCCUCUAUUCUUAAAGUAAGGCCUAUAGAGAUCUCCUAUCCAGAAACUAAGGCGGCCUGGCCUAUAGAGAUCUCUUGUU